GGGCCCGUCGUCUAGUAUGGAUUAGGACGCAGGCCUGCGGAGCCUGAAAUCCUGGGUUCGAAUCCCAGCGGGCCCA
rnacentral:tRNA from 1 species